UUAAGUGCAGAGCGUGUUUAGGAUGAUUGGAGCCUAAAAUGGAGUUCCACAUUACACAUGAACAUAGAGUAUUUGCUCCAUGAUUUUAAAUGCAUGAAGUUUUCUAGGAAUAAAGUUGGGGAAUCAAGGAGAGAACGGAUUUUCUGUUGUUCCAGACUUUACCAAGAAUUUUAUGUCUUUUGUAUUAAUCACAUCCCUGAUGACAAUCUACUAUGUAACUGAGUUACCACACACACACACACACACACACACACACACACACACACCAGUUACAGCUACCACAUUUGAAGAGCUCCUCUUUCGGCAUGCAGCCCCUUGCCUUCUUCACCCUGCCUUCUAACGUCAUCAUGCCAAAUCUCUGCAUCUUGAAACACACGCGAUGUCACCAUAAGACAGUGAGGAAUGGGAGGAAGGAGACUGUGUCUUUCAUCUCCUGUCUCUGCGUGUGGCAGAGGCCUGAGGACAUGCUGCCUGGCCUGAGACCAGCAGUCGUCCCUUACUCAUGGAGGAUGCUGUACAAUUAGGUAGAGAGGAGGAGCUGCACUUCUCCAAGGUGCCGUGAACUCCUCUCCAGCAGUGAGUGGAAAGAGAACUUUAAUGAGCUUUAAAAGAAGACAAUAAGGAAGAUACAAAGACGUGGCCAUCUGGACUUCAGCUGUUUAUGAGGAUAUAAACCUGGACCCAGACAACCCCUGAUUAGACUCAGAAGGGAAGCCAGAUGAACUGAAUGUCUGUAUGCCCCAGAGACUGGGAGAGGUUCUCAGGACAGAGGUGCCCAGGUGUGACUACAGCCCUGGGGAGCUCACAGAUGCAUAACUGCAGGAGUGGUCAAGAAAGAUGAAGAAGGAGGAGAAGGAGGAG